rnacentral:rRNA from 1 species
GAUGAACGCUGGCGGCGUGCCUAAUACAUGCAAGUCGAGCGAACGGACGAGAAGCUUGCUUCUCUGAUGUUAGCGGCGGACGGGUGAGUAACACGUGGAUAACCUACCUAUAAGACUGGGAUAACUUCGGGAAACCGGAGCUAAUACCGGAUAAUAUUUUGAACCGCAUGGUUCAAAAGUGAAAGACGGUCUUGCUGUCACUUAUAGAUGGAUCCGCGCUGCAUUAGCUAGUUGGUAAGGUAACGGCUUACCAAGGCAACGAUGCAUAGCCGACCUGAGAGGGUGAUCGGCCACACUGGAACUGAGACACGGUCCAGACUCCUACGGGAGGCAGCAGUAGGGAAUCUUCCGCAAUGGGCGAAAGCCUGACGGAGCAACGCCGCGUGAGUGAUGAAGGUCUUCGGAUCGUAAAACUCUGUUAUUAGGGAAGAACAUAUGUGUAAGUAACUGUGCACAUCUUGACGGUACCUAAUCAGAAAGCCACGGCUAACUACGUGCCAGCAGCCGCGGUAAUACGUAGGUGGCAAGCGUUAUCCGGAAUUAUUGGGCGUAAAGCGCGCGUAGGCGGUUUUUUAAGUCUGAUGUGAAAGCCCACGGCUCAACCGUGGAGGGUCAUUGGAAACUGGAAAACUUGAGUGCAGAAGAGGAAAGUGGAAUUCCAUGUGUAGCGGUGAAAUGCGCAGAGAUAUGGAGGAACACCAGUGGCGAAGGCGACUUUCUGGUCUGUAACUGACGCUGAUGUGCGAAAGCGUGGGGAUCAAACAGGAUUAGAUACCCUGGUAGUCCACGCCGUAAACGAUGAGUGCUAAGUGUUAGGGGGUUUCCGCCCCUUAGUGCUGCAGCUAACGCAUUAAGCACUCCGCCUGGGGAGUACGACCGCAAGGUUGAAACUCAAAGGAAUUGACGGGGACCCGCACAAGCGGUGGAGCAUGUGGUUUAAUUCGAAGCAACGCGAAGAACCUUACCAAAUCUUGACAUCCUUUGACAACUCUAGAGAUAGAGCUUUCCCCUUCGGGGGACAAAGUGACAGGUGGUGCAUGGUUGUCGUCAGCUCGUGUCGUGAGAUGUUGGGUUAAGUCCCGCAACGAGCGCAACCCUUAAGCUUAGUUGCCAUCAUUAAGUUGGGCACUCUAAGUUGACUGCCGGUGACAAACCGGAGGAAGGUGGGGAUGACGUCAAAUCAUCAUGCCCCUUAUGAUUUGGGCUACACACGUGCUACAAUGGACAAUACAAAGGGCAGCGAAACCGUGAGGUCAAGCAAAUCCCAUAAAGUUGUUCUCAGUUCGGAUCGUAGUCUGCAACUCGACUACAUGAAGCUGGAAUCGCUAGUAAUCGUAGAUCAGCAUGCUACGGUGAAUACGUUCCCGGGUCU